rnacentral:rRNA from 1 species
CCUUGCCAGCCCGCUCAGAAACUCAAAUGAAUUGACGGGGCCCGCACAAGCGGUGGAGUAUGUGGUUUAAUUCGAUGCAACGCGAAGAACCUUACCUGGUCUUGACAUCCCGGAGACCCUUAGGAAACUAGGGGGUGCUUCCAUCUGGAAGAAUCUGGAGACAGGUGCUGCAUGGCUGUCGUCAGCUCGUGUCGUGAGAUGUUGGGUUAAGUCCCGCAACGAGCGCAACCCUUGCCUUUAGUUGCCAGCAGUUCGGCUGGGCACUCUAAAGGGACUGCCGGUGUUAAACCGGAGGAAGGUGGGGAUGACGUCAAGUCCUCAUGGCCUUUAUGACCAGGGCUACACACGUACUACAAUGGCCGAUACAAAGGGCAGCGACACUGCGAGGUGAAGCCAAUCCCGUAAAAUCGGUCUCAGUCCGGAUUGGAGUCUGCAACUCGACUCCAUGAAGUUGGAAUCGCUAGUAAUCGUGGAUCAGCAUGCCACGGUGAAUACGUUCCCGGGCCUU